UCUCCUUUAACUCUCUCUCUCUCUCUCGGUGCUCUUGGGACGACGUCGUUCAUCCAUCGCCGCCUCCACCUUUGCUACUGUCGGUGACCACUUCAAGUUGGGUCUUCGCAUCUGCAAUCAAAGCCGAGUAUUGGGGACAUGCCGGAGAGCUUCGCGGCGGAGAUUAUAGCAAAGGUAUGAAGAAAGACUCGCAUGGUUAUCAGUCCAUGCUUUGAUGUUGGUGUCAAGGAGAUUGAAGGCUGACUGCUACUCUUCUUCCAUCAAGACAUGUUUGCCCUUGUUAACUCACCAAUGUAUUAGUUGUUAGGUCACCAAGUGUUGUAUAUGUUAAAUACUACUUGCCCAGUUGAUACGUUUUCAAUUG